CCUACGGGCGGCAGCAGUGAGGAAUAUUGGUCAAUGGGCGCUAGUCUGAACCAGCCAAGUAGCGUGAAGGAUGACUGCCCUAUGGGUUGUAAACUUCUUUUAUAUGGGAAUAAAGUGCAGUAUGUAUACUGUUUUGCAUGUACCUUAUGAAUAAGGAUCGGCUAAUUCCGUGCAGCAGCCGCGGUAAUACGGAGGAUCCGAGCGUUAUCCGGAUUUAUUGGGUUUAAAGGGAGCGUAGGCGGGUUGUUAAGUCAGUUGUGAAAGUUUGCGGCUCAACCGUAAAAUUGCAGUUGAUACUGGCAUCCUUGAGUACGGUAGAGGUAGGCGGAAUUCGUGGUGUAGCGGUGAAAUGCUUAGAUAUCACGAAGAACUCCGAUUGCGAAGGCAGCCUGCUGGACUGUAACUGACGCUGAUGCUCGAAAGUGUGGGUAUCAAACAGGAUUAGAUACCCCAGUAGUC
rnacentral:rRNA from 1 species